GACGAACGCUGGCGGCGUGCCUAAUACAUGCAAGUAGAACGCUGAAGAGAGGAGCUUGCUCUUCUUGGAUGAGUUGCGAACGGGUGAGUAACGCGUAGGUAACCUGCCUUGUAGCGGGGGAUAACUAUUGGAAACGAUAGCUAAUACCGCAUAACAAUGGAUGACACAUGUCAUUUAUUUGAAAGGGGCAAUUGCUCCACUACAAGAUGGACCUGCGUUGUAUUAGCUAGUAGGUGAGGUAACGGCUCACCUAGGCGACGAUACAUAGCCGACCUGAGAGGGUGAUCGGCCACACUGGGACUGAGACACGGCCCAGACUCCUACGGGAGGCAGCAGUAGGGAAUCUUCGGCAAUGGGGGCAACCCUGACCGAGCAACGCCGCGUGAGUGAAGAAGGUUUUCGGAUCGUAAAGCUCUGUUGUAAGUCAAGAACGAGUGUGAGAGUGGAAAAUUCACACUGUGACGGUAGCUUACCAGAAAGGGACGGCUAACUACGUGCCAGCAGCCGCGGUAAUACGUAGGUCCCGAGCGUUGUCCGGAUUUAUUGGGCGUAAAGCGAGCGCGGGCGGUUUGAUAAGUCUGAAGUUAAAGGCUGUGGCUCAACCAUAGUUCGCUUUGGAAACUGUCAAACUUGAGUGCAGAAGGGGAGAGUGGAAUUCCAUGUGUAGCGGUGAAAUGCGUAGAUAUAUGGAGGAACACCGGUGGCGAAAGCGGCUCUCUGGUCUGUAACUGACGCUGAGGCUCGAAAGCGUGGGGAGCGAACAGGAUUAGAUACCCUGGUAGUCCACGCCGUAAACGAUGAGUGCUAGGUGUUGGAUCCUUUCCGGGAUUCAGUGCCGCAGCUAACGCAUUAAGCACUCCGCCUGGGGAGUACGACCGCAAGGUUGAAACUCAAAGGAAUUGACGGGGGCCCGCACAAGCGGUGGAGCAUGUGGUUUAAUUCGAAGCAACGCGAAGAACCUUACCAGGUCUUGACAUCCCGAUGCUAUUUCUAGAGAUAGAAAGUUACUUCGGUACAUCGGUGACAGGUGGUGCAUGGUUGUCGUCAGCUCGUGUCGUGAGAUGUUGGGUUAAGUCCCGCAACGAGCGCAACCCCUAUUGUUAGUUGCCAUCAUUCAGUUGGGCACUCUAGCGAGACUGCCGGUAAUAAACCGGAGGAAGGUGGGGAUGACGUCAAAUCAUCAUGCCCCUUAUGACCUGGGCUACACACGUGCUACAAUGGUUGGUACAACGAGUUGCGAGUCGGUGACGGCAAGCUAAUCUCUUAAAGCCAAUCUCAGUUCGGAUUGUAGGCUGCAACUCGCCUACAUGAAGUCGGAAUCGCUAGUAAUCGCGGAUCAGCACGCCGCGGUGAAUACGUUCCCGGGCCU
rnacentral:rRNA from 1 species